GAUGAACGCUGGCGGCGUGCCUAACACAUGCAAGUCGAGCGAUCUUCUUCGGAAGAGAGCGGCGGACGGGUGAGUAACGCGUGGGUAACCUGCCCUGUACACACGGAUAACAUACCGAAAGGUAUGCUAAUACGAGAUAAUAUGCUUUUGUCGCAUGGUAGAAGUAUCAAAGCUCCGGCGGUACAGGAUGGACCCGCGUCUGAUUAGCUAGUUGGUAAGGUAACGGCUUACCAAGGCGACGAUCAGUAGCCGACCUGAGAGGGUGAUCAGCCACAUUGGAACUGAGACACGGUCCAAACUCCUACGGGAGGCAGCAGUGGGGAAUAUUGCACAAUGGGCGAAAGCCUGAUGCAGCAACGCCGCGUGAGCGAUGAAGGCCUUCGGGUCGUAAAGCUCUGUCCUCAAGGAAGAUAAAGGCGGUACUUGAGGAGGAAGCCCCGGCUAACUACGUGCCAGCAGCCGCGGUAA
rnacentral:rRNA from 1 species